rnacentral:lncRNA from 1 species
CAAUUCUGCCACUGCUGACAACAAAACCGGUUCCAAGGUCGGAGAGUACGCAGAUUAUGGUUCUCAGAAGGCGAAAGAAACAAAAGAUGCAACGAAGGAAAAAGCUGGAGAGUACACAGAUUAUGCUUCGCAGAAGGCGAAGGAAACGAAGGACAAGACAAUGGAAAAGGCUGGAGAGUACACUGAUUAUGCUUCGCAGAAGGCGAAGGAAACGAAGGACAAGACAAUGGAGAAGGCUGGAGAGUACACAGAUUAUGCUUCGCAGAAGGCGAAAGAAGCCAAGGACAAGACAAUGGAGAAGGGAGGGGAAUAUAAAGACUAUGCUGCAGAGAAGGCUAAAGAAGGAAAAGAUGCUACUGUGAAUAAGAUGGGAGAGUAUAAAGAUUAUACGGCGGAGAAGGCUAAAGAGGGGAAAGAUACGACGUUGGGGAAGCUUGGGGAGCUGAAGGACUCUGCGGCUGAUGCGGCGAAGAGGGCAGUGGGUUACUUGAGCGGCAAGACAGAGGAAACCAAAGAGAAAGUCUCGGAGACGGCAGAGGCGACGGCUAAUAAGGCGGCGGAGAUGAAGGAGGCCACCAGGGAGAAGGCUGCCGGGACUGCGGAGGCGGCCAAGAACAAGGCCGCAGAGGUAAAGGACAGAGCUGCAGAAACCGCGGAGGCGGCCAAGAACAAGACUGCCGAGACUGCUGAGGCAGCGAAGCAGAAAACCGCACAGGCAAAGGACAACGCCAAGGUUUCACCUUUAUAUUAAUCUUUUUUAAUCUCUAUAUUUAAAAUUGGUCAUUUUAAUUUCAUGCUUCUAUUGAAAAUUUGGAAUGCAGUGGAUUUCGUCCUUGACUAGCUAAUCUAACUGUUCCCAAGUCAAAAUGGGGUUAACCAAAAUCAUUAUAGAGAAUACAAUCAAUUUGUGUAACACCCCUUUAAUACCGGCGCGUUCCUUAGUUUGGAGCCGAAUACUGAUGAGUGUUUUAACUUGAUCAUUAUAUUGAGUUGUAUUACAUUUUUUUUUCUCACUAUAUAUAUCUUGGAGUAGAGAUAGAGAGUGUCCCAGUUUGGACCUUAAAACAGAUUUUACUUAUUCGUUAUUAUUUUGGGUUUGCAUUUAUGUUUGUAUGUAAUAAUGGGAGUAAUAAUUGUUGAGGUUAGAGAAAAUUGACUAGUUUUUGUGGGUGUGAUGUGAUGCAGGAAAAUGUGAGUGGUGCAGAUGAAGGAGCAAGGAGGAAAAUGGAGGACCUAAGGCUUCGAGGUAAAGGGUAUGGAAGUCAUGAAUCUGCAGGGGGGCGUGGAGAUAAGGUGGUGGUGA